rnacentral:rRNA from 1 species
GACGUAGGGCGCGAGCGUUGUCCGGAUUUAUUGGGCGUAAGGAGCUCGUAGGCGGCUUGUCGCGUCGACUGUGAAAACCCACGGCUUAACUGUGGGCUUGCAGUCGAUACGGGCAGGCUAGAGUUCGGUAGGGGAGACUGGAAUUCCUGGUGUAGCGGUGAAAUGCGCAGAUAUCAGGAGGAACACCGGUGGCGAAGGCGGGUCUCUGGGCCGUAACUGACGCUGAGGAGCGAAAGCGUGGGGAGCGAACAGG